GCCGAGGUGGUGAAAUUGGUAGACACGCUAGCUUCAGAUGCUAGUGCCCGCGAGGGAGCAGAGACUCACCCCCCCCCCUCGGCA
rnacentral:tRNA from 1 species